rnacentral:lncRNA from 1 species
AAGUACAUUACCACAUACCCCAGGGCCCACUCUGAAACCCACCUGUAUAGAACUUCAUGAGGGACGGCACCAGCAGUUUGGUAGAGAGAGGAUGGUUCUCAAUCAUCUCAAAGAACUUCUGAGUUCUCGGCUGGACAGAAGGGUUGGUCAUGAACAUGACCUCCACCAGCUUGGCCACUAGCAUCAACAGUUCUGUGCUACUCUCCAGCAAAACAUCUGUCUGCUAGGCUGCAACAUGUCAGAGGGCCGCCUGCCAGAGGAGACACACAGAGCCACAUCGUGCUAAGUGGAUGUUAAGCUUCUUACAGACCCUUAGUCACAACAAUGGAAUAUAAGGGAGGCUACAGAGCUGAAAGAAGAGCUCAGGACAUUCCGCAUCCUGACGUUCGGAGCGACGAGGAUGAGAGGGCCAGGCCCACGUCACUCACAGAGCUCUGUCAGCCGCUCAUUCACAUCCUCCAUCGUUGCAUUUAUCCGUGUCUCAUCAUUCGGGACAGUGAUCCGACAUCUUGGGUGGAAUAUGUAUAUGCCUCCUGAGUGCUCGGCAGCACCUGUGAAGGCAGAAGAGGGAAAUCCUCUGGAGCCGGAGUUCCAGGCUGUCCUGCGAACCACACUCCAGUCAUGCAGAAGAGCAUCAGACACUCCUGACUGCUAAGCUGUCUUCCCAGCCCCAAUCCUAUGUUGCGUCUCCAUUUAUUAUUACUGUAUGUGUGUCCGGGAAAAGGGGGAGUAGAGAGUAUGUAUGUGGGAUCUCUCUCUCAUCUUGACGUGGGUUCCAGUUGUCAGGCCUGAACAGCAAGCAUCUAGUAACUCAAGAGCAAGCUAUCUCAUUAUGCUUGAUGUUCAAAUCCCAAGUAUGGCUUGCUUGUUGUUCUGAAAACCAGCAAGAUGCCUCUGACAGUCAUCCUUUGUGCUGGCUCCCCAGAAUAGCAAGGCACAUUCCCACAGUGCCUCACUCGCUGCUGUCUAGGACUGGCAGUGGCGGAGUAUGGAAAGCUGCCAAUACACUAGGGUGGCUCAGGACACAGUCACACAAGUGUCUGGCCUACAGCAGAGUCUCAGGUUUUACAUCUGAAGGUGAGAGUGAUCUACACUUGUAAUCUCAGCACUCGAGAGGAGGGGGCAGGGCCAUGAGCUAACGCAGACAUGAGACUGUGUCUCAAAAAAAG